UAACGUGUCAGAGAAGUACUAAUUAUGACAAGUGGAUAAGAUCUGUUUCCGGAGAUAGCUCGACAAAGAAUUUUUCCACAGUAAGAGCAUGUUAUAUGUCUUGUUUUCCCUCUGCGCUGCAUUCUGGGGAAUCCAAAUUAUGAAGCGGAUCACUUCAUCCAAAGAUAAACAUCACUGAAAGAGCAGUUCUAACAUCACUAAUUAUGGAAACAGCACUUUGGAAUAACCUUCUAAGUUCCUUGGAAUUAAUCACCCACGAAUCUUACUGAAUCGCAAUCAUUUUACUUAUGAUAGGAGAGGUUUGUGAUUUCAUAUGAAAGUUUGAAAGAUUCAUUAGGAUGUGUAUUCAUUUUUAUUUCAUUUUAAAAAUAUAUUUAAUUUCCUCCCAAUUUAAAUAAAAUGUUUGUUCACAACAUAUAUUUUUACAUUCAAAGGAUUACAAAGUCUUAGAAACCAUGUAAAAUAAAUUGCAUUUUUGCAGUGAUUUUGGUAGCAAUCAUAGGUGAAAAGUAUUUUUCACAAGAGGAAUAAUUAAAAUCAUAUUUGUUGUAACCUGGUAUAAAGUGACUGACUGUCUUCCUAUUGAGGCUAAACAUAAACAUAUGUGAAUGUCAGUUUUUCCGUAAUGAUUGCAUUACACUAGAAUCUCAAUGUCAUGCCCAAUUCAGUGUUCAUAACAUACAGCUACAUGAGGAUGAGUAGUCGAGGCAAGAAAAUUAUUAAAAACAGCAUGAUAAAAUAACUCAAACUAGUAAGAGUUGAAACAUCUUCAAUAAAAUUGGCUGAUGUAUAUGUUGUAUAAUGCAGACUUACAGUUUAGACUGAACUAUUUAAGGAGUACACCUGUAGCUGCCAACUUUAGAUACUGAUCAGGCCAGCACUUACAUAUUGGUAUCCCAUUGACUAAUGUUACUCACGUGACAAAAUAUUUGCAAGGCUGGGCCCUUAAUUUCUGGUAAUUUCCUGCUGGGGUGAUCUCAGGGGAGAUGCACGUCUUGUC
rnacentral:lncRNA from 1 species